GCUUUGGUGCCUUCGGGAACUCUGAGACAGGUGCUGCAUGGCUGUCGUCAGCUCGUGUUGUGAAAUGUUGGGUUAAGUCCCGCAACGAGCGCAACCCUUAUCCUUUGUUGCCAGCGAUUCGGUCGGGAACUCAAAGGAGACUGCCAGUGAUAAACUGGAGGAAGGUGGGGAUGACGUCAAGUCAUCAUGGCCCUUACGAGUAGGGCUACACACGUGCUACAAUGGCGCAUACAAAGAGAAGCGACCUCGCGAGAGCAAGCGGACCUCAUAAAGUGCGUCGUAGUCCGGAUUGGAGUCUGCAACUCGACUCCAUGAAGUCGGAAUCGCUAGUAAUCGUAGAUCAGAAUGC
rnacentral:rRNA from 1 species